CCUUCUUAAAGCUCUAGCCAGUGGGAAAGCGUUUGUGUUUCUAUCCUUGGAGCUCCAAGUGGGACUUCUUAAAAGAUUUAGAAGGAGCAAAGCUGUCAGGAAAUCAGAAACGUCACAUGGACUCCAUGACUGGGAAAAACCUCGUGGUGGCCUGCUCUCAGUGCUUGGAUGUGUGCUAGUUACAUCUCGGAGGUCUGAUUUUCUUAACUCUACUACGGUAAGAAGAUGCCCUCCAUCAGCAGGCCGUGUCUGCUGGGACCUCUCUGGAGACUUCCUGAACCCUGUGGAUUUACAGUAAGAUGCAGUUUCCUGGGGAGUAAUUCUGGUGGAUACAAAUUCCGGAGUAUUACACCUGGCUUGCCUGGAGAUGUUACAAGUAGCUGGAUGGAUUCUUCAGCCUGGAUGCCCACUGAAAACAAGGACCGAAACUAAGAGGAUUGUAUCUCUACCCUUGACUCAAUGAGAAUGUUUGUUGUCAUCUCUCGGGCUACCUGGAGCUCCCUCUAAAAUAGAGCCGAGUUCUGUCACCACAGACAUUGGCAGUGGCACUUGCAUGCCCCUGGCAAGCAGUCUAUCCUGAGGUGGAGGAAGUUGCCCUUGAGUUCUGGCUGGUAACCAGCACAGUAUACCCUUUAAGCGUUCCAGAAGGAUUUUGAGAUCCUUUCCUAAAUCAAAGGUGGAAUAUUUGGGGAUUUGGAAAAUUGAGCCAGUCUCUCAGAAGAACCAGUUGUGUUACUUUGCUGUGAGAUGCCUGCCCUAAGAGAGGAGCAGAAGGUCGGAACGGGUCCUCUAAUGUGAUAAUUAGAUGUGAAGCGUUGACUUAAGAGAUGCCAAGUAACUCAGCAGAUGUCACACAGACGAUAAAUAGCAAAGAUGGAAGUCUUCAUGCCGGAGGCAAUCCUAUAAGACAGCUGAGUUCUGCAGAGCUGGAGACAGACUUGCUCAGGUGAUAGAUCCAGCCAUGAUACUGACCCUAAGAGAAUGAGACGCUCUGCAGAAGACAGAAGAUUCCUGAAACUGGGAAAGGUGCCUAGAAAUCCUGAUAAGAGUGAAGAAGGGUACCUGGAGGCACAGCAGCCAUGUUGAACCUAUGAGGUGAUGAAAAACCAUGCAACUAGAAACCAGAAUGGAAGAAAAGAAGAAGCUGGAUCCUUGACUGAAUUGUCGAUGGGGGAUAGUCCAUCAUCCCAGGGCUAAGACCACCUCCAGAUUUCUUGUUUGGUGAAACAAGUCCUGAUUGUUUACAUUCCCUCGUGUUGAGCUGUCUCUUGCUUGUAGCUGAAAGCAUUUCUAAUAGAUAUUCAGAUUAUCAGCCUUAGCUCCAAGCUAGAAUACUCUAUGGGACCUUAGCUUCUCCAUGAAUUCCUUUGCUCAUCUGUGUAAUGCUCAAUAAAUGUAAAUUGAACCCUGAAUGAGGGACAAUGACA
rnacentral:lncRNA from 1 species